rfam:Nicotiana attenuata strain TT chromosome 9, whole genome shotgun sequence.
GAUAACACGCUGAUCUUUUCAAGAGCUCACAUCGACGGGAAGAUUUGGCACCUUGGUGUCGGCUCUUCGUCACCUGGGAGUGUAGUAUAUUCCAAGAGUUGAGUUGUUCGCAACGGUACGUGAGCUGGGUUAAAUAGGAAUAUAAACA